rnacentral:rRNA from 1 species
UACGGAGGAUGCAAGCGUUAUCCGGAAUGAUUGGGCGUAAAGCGUCCGCAGGUGGCAAUGUAAGUCUGCUGUCAAAGCGUCUGGCUCAACCAGAUAAAGGCAGUGGAAACUACAUAGCUAGAGUAAGGUAGGGGUAGAGGGAAUUCCUGGUGUAGCGGUGAAAUGCGUAGAGAUCAGGAAGAACACCGGUGGCGAAAGCGCUCUGCUGGACCUUAACUGACACUGAGGCGCGAAGGCGUGGGGAGCGAACGGG